UCACGACGGUGGGUUCGGUUCGUGCCUCACGGAAGCGUCGCAUCCCGUCUGCCGACCGCUCGGCGUCAUCGCGAAGACGCAGAAAGGCAGUCGGAACAGGUCCAGUUAAAUCCGUACAUCCCACCCGACACUGUAUGGUGAUUCUCCUGUCAGGGCAGUGACCAUAUUGUACGUGGCCCGGAAUGUAGCUGUCGACCUCGAGACCCUAGCAAGUGGUGAACCCCGUGAAGAUGGCCAGUGGACCGACAGUGCAGAAAGUGUGCUUUGGAAAUACAGGCAGAUUCAAGGCGGGCGCAGACGAGGAGUGAAGAAUUUCAGCGUCUUUGGACCGCGCGGACAAACACCAGGCGCUGCUGAGAGCCUGUCUGCCGCCAUGUUGGCCCUGAACAUCCUGUGCCUGAAGCGUAGGCGCUCCUCCAGCUGGGCGCCCGCCGGGGGAUCCCCGCUGUCCGGCAGCGGCAAAGGAAUCCUGUCAGCAGCGCGGGGCAGCCGAGGCGGAGGUGGCGCCGCGCCGCCAUCAUGCGGCACCGCUGCGAACAACACCGUCGCUUACAG